rnacentral:rRNA from 1 species
UACGUAGGGUGCGAGCGUUGUCCGGAAUUAUUGGGCGUAAAGGGCGCGUAGGCGGCCUGCUAAGUCGGAUGUGAAAUCCCUCGGCUCAACCGAGGAACUGCAUCCGAUACUGGCGGGCUUGAAUCCGGGAGAGGGAUGUGGAAUUCCAGGUGUAGCGGUGAAAUGCGUAGAUAUCUGGAGGAACACCGGUGGCGAAGGCGGCAUCCUGGACCGGUAUUGACGCUGAGGCGCGAAAGCU